rnacentral:lncRNA from 1 species
AAAACCUUUUGACUUAGAAGACAAUUAGAGUGUGUGAAAUCAAAUAUGGUUUACAUAGUUGCAUCAACAUAAAAUGUCAUUCUCCAAGUCUAGCUAGGCAUUAUCUGCAACAAUUCCUUCCAACAAUAGUCAAAGUGAAGUUUUUUAUCUUUGGCAUUUCUACUUAACACAUUUUUCAUUGCGUGUAUAUGAGUAUGUUACAAAUGUAUCAAAUGAACCAAAAUGUAUGCCUUGUUAUGCUUGUCAGCUUGCUAAAUUGCUUAAGUUUUCAUUUAAUUUUGAUAUCAUAUAUUAUGACUUCGGGGGUUUGC